rnacentral:rRNA from 1 species
UGGCGAACGGGUGAGUAACGCGUGAGGAACCUGCCUCAAAGAGGGGGACAACAGUUGGAAACGACUGCUAAUACCGCAUAAGCCCACGACCCGGCAUCGGGAAGAGGGAAAAGGAGCAAUCCGCUUUGAGAUGGCCUCGCGUCCGAUUAGCUAGUUGGUGAGGUAACGGCCCACCAAGGCGACGAUCAGUAGCCGGCCUGAGAGGGUGACCGGCCACAUUGGGACUGAGACACGGCCCAA